GCACAGUGGUGCAGUAGGUAGCACUGCCACUCACAGAUGGUAGGUUGCAGGUUGGAUUCCAGCCUGAUGCU